rnacentral:rRNA from 1 species
UAGGGAAUCUUCGGCAAUGGGGGCAACCUUGACCGAGCAACGCCGCGUGAGUGAAGAAGGUUUUCGGAUCGUAAAGCUCUGUUGUAAGAGAAGAACGUGUGUGAGAGUGGAAAGUUCACACAGUGACGGUAACUUACCAGAAAGGGACGGCUAACUACGUGCCAG